rnacentral:rRNA from 1 species
CCUACGGGAGGCAGCAGUGGGGAAUAUUGGACAAUGGGCGCAAGCCUGAUCCAGCAAUACCGCGUGAGUGAUGAAGGUCUUCGGAUUGUAAAGCUCUUUUAGUGGAGAAGAUAAUGACGGUAUCCACAGAAAAAGCACCGGCAAACUUCGUGCCAGCAGCCGCGGUAAUACGAAGGGUGCUAGCGUUGUUCGGAAUCAUUGGGCGUAAAGCGUACGUAGGCGGUUUAGUAAGUCGAUUGUGAAAUACCCGAGCUCAACUUGGGAAUUGCAAUCGAAACUGCUUUGCUAGAGUUUAGUGGGGGAUAGUGGAAUUCCUAGUGUAGGGGUGAAAUCCGUAGAUAUUAGGAGGAACAUCAGUGGCGAAGGCGACUAUCUACGCUAAUACUGACGCUAAGGUACGAAAGCGUGGGGAGCAAACAGGAUUAGAUACCCUGGUAGUCCACGCAGUAAACGAUGAGUGCUAGUUGUCGGGGUCUUAGACUUCGGUGGCGAAGCUAACGCGUUAAGCACUCCGCCUGGGGACUCGGUCGCAGCAAACUUAAAUGAAUUGACGGCUGGAGAGUUGCGAGAGACACGAGGAGAG